CGCUAGGCGCUGCUGCCAGCAACGAGUCCGGCGUAGCGUUGCCUCGAUCGCUAACGACUGAGUCGCGCCGCUACGCAUUUCACUCGAAGACGUCGUCGUCCGUGGCUCGUCACCGCCGCGCGAAGGAAAUUUCUGCCAUGUUUUUCAAGUUGCUGCGGAACCACGGAAGGCACAGUUCCAGACCUCCGGACAAAUCGAAGAGCGGCCGAGACAAGGCCGAACACCCGAAACCGAACGGCAGCACCAAAGUCGCAACCGAAUCAACCGAAGUACAAUGCGACGUGGGAGGCAACCCCGAAUCUAGUCCCCUAAUUGAGCACGAGUCCAGGACCAGCCCGAACGGCCAGGGUGCUGAGGCCGAUGAAACCAGGCGCGUGCUAGAAGAAAACCUGCUCUUGCAACAGGAACUGAAAGAAAAAUGUGAUCUUCUUUCGAAGCUGGAGGAAGAACUCGAUCAACGAGACGAUGCAGCCGGCUUAGAGGGAUUAGACCGGAUUACCUCCUUGCCUGUCAGCCGACGCACGCAGCAGCAACGCGAGGAGCUGCGCGUGACCAAGGAAGCCCUGAGCAGCCUGCGCCAGUGUUUCCGCCUGGACGACCCGUACCAGCACACGCUGGACACCAUCGAGCAGUCCCUGUGCACGCUCCUCGAGCGCGUCACCAGCAUGGAGAGGCAGGCCGCGGGGGGACCUGCCGGAAGGGACGGAGGACGAAGAUUGAACUUCGAUUCAACGGGCGACCCCCGACGGCUACCAAUUACAACAGUUCCCCGUGCAGCGGCUGGAUCCACUGCAGUCUCUUGGCCGGGCACAGGCGUCCACCAAAGUCAUCUACUACACCGAGAAGUCGGUCACUCCCUUCUUGUCAGUCAUCCCCAGAAGACUCGGCGACAUAACACUUCGAGACUUCAAAGUAGCGUUUGACCGGCCAGGGCUCUACAGGUUCCACUUCAAGACGCUAGAUCCGGAGUUUGGAAUGGUCAAAGAGGAGGUUCUACAUGACGAUGACAUCAUCCCUGGCUGGGAUGGAAAGAUCGUUGCUUGGAUCGAAGAAGACAUUUGACACUGGCCAGCAGAUACCUCCCCGCUUCAUCCUUGGUUUCAUCUGUACAUAACAUUCGUCUUUGUG
rnacentral:misc_RNA from 1 species